UCACCCCUCAAGCCCCCGGCUUGGUGUUGGACGGUUUGGUGAAUACUUUUCUUAUUUACCCCUCCCAAAGACAAUGACGGCGGCCUUGUUGGACCCCCGGUACACUGAGUUCCUUACCGAACACGUACUGGAUAAAGGGCCACGGGGCACGGUCUGCCUCCCCUUAGGGAGAACUUUUCUCAA
rnacentral:misc_RNA from 1 species